AGGAAAAGUUCAGUUUAGGGUUUAAAACCCUAAUGCUGACUAAAGGAAAAGAGUUCAGUUUAGGGUUUAAAACCCUAAUGCUGACUAAAGGAAAAGAGUUCAGUUUAGGGUUUAAAACCCUAAUGCUGACUGAAGGAAAAGAGUUCAGUUUAGGGUUUAAAACCCUAAUGCUGACUAAAGGAAAGAGUUAAGAUUAGGGUUUAAAACCAUAAUGUUGACUGAAGAAAAGAGUUCAGUUUAGGGUUUAAAACCCUAAUGCUGACUGAAGGGAAAAAGUUCAGUUUAGGGUUUAAAACCCUAAUGCUGACUAAAUGGAAAAAGUUCAGUAUAGGGGUUUUUAAAAACCCCUAAUGCUGACUGAAUGGGGAAAAAAGUUUAGUUUAGGGUUUAAAACCCUAAUGCUGACUAAAGGAAAAAAGUUCAGUUUAGGGUUUAAAACCCUAAUGCUGACUAAAGGGAAAAAGUUCAGUUUAGGGUUUAAAACCCUAAUGCUGACUGAAGGAAAAGUUCAGUUUAGGGUUUAAAACCCUAAUGCUGACUGAAAGGAAAGAGUUCAGUUUAGGGUUUAAAACCCUAAUGCUGAUUGCAUGGAAAAGCUCAGUUUAGGGUUUAAAAACCUAACGCUGGCUAAAUGGAAAAAUGUUCAGUUUAGGGUUUAAAACCCUAAUGCUGAUUGCAUGGAAAAGCUCAGUUUAGGGUUUAAAGCCCUAAUGCUGGCUGAAUGGAAAAAAGUUCAGUUUAAGGUUUAAAACCCUAUUGCUGAUUGCAUGGAAAA
rnacentral:lncRNA from 1 species